GGGUGUGUAGCUCAGCUGGUUAGAGCACUGUCCUCACACGACAGGGGUCAGAGGUUCGAGUCCUCUCACGCCCACCA
rnacentral:tRNA from 1 species